GCUAAACUCAACUUCCAACUUCCUUGUGUGUGAGUUUAAUUUAACUCAAAAGUGUUAUUUGUGAUACGAAAUGCUUGGACUGCUGCAGCUGCUACUAUUCCUUUUACUUUUCGGCAAUUCCCACUGUGAUUUGAUUACGAUAAAAAAAGGAAAAAAUGUAGUGGCUUGCUUAACGAAUAAUUACACGUCCGCGGUAGCGUUUGUAAAGAGACCUGACGGCGACAAAGAUUUCACCAAAGUGGAUUACUCGGACGGCGAAGGAAAGUCUAUUCCACUUAGCAAAUAUGACUGUGAUUUGGUCACAGGAAAUUGUACGCAAUGGAAUUGGAAGAAAAGGAAUAACCAAGGAUGGAAUUUAGCUAGCGAAGUAGGUGGUGCCAUCACAGACUACCGUUGGAAUGAUCUGCCCACAUAUUUCGUUAGCAGAACAUCGUUAAUUCAAACUUACAGCAUAAGUCACAGAGCGCCUUUCCAUUUUUCAUUUUUGGCCGAGGAGCAAGCGGGAAACAAAAUUCACGAACGAAACAAAUGGUCACAAUCUAAAAAUAGUGCUGGCAAUGACGUUUUUACAAAAAUUGCGGAAAGCGAUGUUCAACUGAACAUAAGAACUUCGUGUACAGAAAACGCACAAUGUGAGUUAAAACUCGAAAUAUCUGGCAGAGGACUCUUAAAAAUCCA